rnacentral:rRNA from 1 species
GAUUUAUUGAGUCUAAAACGUUCGUAGCCGGUUUGGUAAAUCUUUGGGUAAAUCGGGAGGCUCAACUUUCCGACUUCCGAAGAGACUGCCAAACUUGGGACCGGGAGAGGCUAGAGGUACUUCUGGGGUAGGGGUAAAAUCCUGUAAUCCUAGAAGGACCACCGGUGGCGAAGGCGUCUAGCUAGAACGGAUCCGACGGUGAGGGACGAAGCCCUGGGUCGCAAACGGGAUUAGAUACCCCGGUAGUCCAGGGUGUAAACGCUGCCGACUUGGUGUUGGAGGCCCUUCGGGGGCAUUCAGUGCCGGAGAGAAGUUGUUAAGUCGGCUACUUGGGGAGUACGUCCGCAAGGAUGAAACUUAAAGGAAUUGGCGGGGGGAGCACA